rnacentral:rRNA from 1 species
UCGACUGCACGAAGCUGGAAUCGCUAGUAAUCGCGGAUCAGCACGCCGCGGUGAAUACGUUCCCGGGCCUUGUACACACCGCCCGUCACACCAUGGAAGUCUGCAAUGCCCGAAGCCGGUGGCCUAACCACUUAUGUGGAAGGAGCCGUCUAAGGCAGGGCAGAUGACUGGGGUGAAGUCGUAACAAGGUAUC